rnacentral:rRNA from 1 species
AAUAUUGGACAAUGGGGUGGAAGCCUGAUCCAGCCAUGCCGCGUGCAUGAAGACACCCUAUGGGUUAAAACUGUUUUUAUACAAGGAAAUAAGAGGUAUGUACCCCUGGAUGACGGUAUUAUAAGAAUAAGGAGCUGUAAUUCUUUGGUAGCAGCCGCGGUAAUUCGGAGGGUGCGAGCGUUAUUAAUAAUCACUUCCUUUAAAAAGCCGCAGGGGGGCAAUUAAGUCAGGGGUGAAAUAUUGCAGCUCUCACGUAGCGAUGCCCUUGAUACAGGUUGUCGCGAGAGUUUGUGGAGGGGACGGAAUAUUCGGGUAGAGGUGAAAUGCAUAGAUAUUCCGAGAACACCGAUCGGGGAGGCAGGUCACUAACCAUAUACUGACGCUGAUGGAGGGAAGGGUGGGGAGCGAACAAGAUUUGAUACCCUUGUAGUUCAAGCCGUA